rnacentral:rRNA from 1 species
GACGAACGCUGGUGGCGUGCUUAACACAUGCAAGUCGAACGAAGAGCGCUGGAUUCUUGCUUCUAUCCAUCUUAGUGGCGGACGGGUGAGUAACGCGUAAUCAACCUGCCCUUCAGAGGGGGCCAACAGUUGGAAACGACUGCUCAUACUGCAUACGCUCCAAUCUCGGCAUCGGGACUGGAUUAAAGGUGGCCUCUAUUUAUAAGCCAUCACUGCAGGUGGGGAGUGCGUCUGAUUAGUUAGUUGGAGUGGUAACGGCCCACGAUGGUGAGGAUCAGUAGUCGGACGGAGAGGAUGAACGGCCAGAUUGAGAGGGUGACAGGGCCCAUACGGCUACGGGAGGCAGCAGUGGGGAAUCGGCAGGAAGGGAUGAAAGUCUGAGGGAGCAAGGCGGCGGGAGUGAGGACGACCGCCGGGUUGUAAAGCUCUGUUUAUGGGGAGGAAUGGUCUUUGGGCGAAGAGGGCGAGGAUUUGACGGUACCGGAAAAGAAAGCAACGGCUAACUACGUG